rnacentral:misc_RNA from 1 species
CAACCUCCGGUGUGCCGCCCGCAAUUUUCUGCUCACCGCCGGCGUUCCAAGAUUGUUGCAAUAAGGGAUAUCAUACCUCCUGCUGUUGUGUAGCUCACAUUCUUCCAGUCAUUGUCAAUUCUCCCAGUUCUUCUAGCAGUAGAACUUUGCUAAUUGAAUCUGCAAAAGUAACUUCGACAGCAAAAAGGUUUUUGUCCCGCGAGAAUGGAAUCUCUAUUUGUAGGCUUGUCUCAUAACAAGCCAAAAAAUUCGGUGGCAACCGCAAUAGUUCGAGAAGACUAUAUUUGCACGCAAGGUGAUCUUGCUCUCAUCGAUUUUAUUAAGGAAAUCCCUUGUGAACCAAGGGUAGAAGUCGUGCUUAUUGAUGAUGCCUUUGUUGAAAGGAAAUGGAUGGAGUGUUUAUUUCAGCCGAACGCAUAUUUAGGUGACGAGGUUAUAGACUGUUACAUAAAUUUGAUAAAAGCUCAAAAGCAUCUAAAGUGCCGAUCUGGAGGUCGCGUUCACAUAGAAAAUGCUUUCCAGUUCAAUUUCCUGAAGCGAGAUGGUGAUGUUGAAAUUAAAACAGAAGAGUUAUAUCCAAAUAAAGACAUGACACAAAUAUGUAGCGCUGAACGAAGGGUGUUACUUUACUUAGACCAUGACAUGGUGUUUAUUCCGAUAAACAUCCGAGAGACGCACUGGUAUCUUGCCG